UACCAGCACCCCGAGUGGUCGGGACGAUUAUUGGGCCUAAAGCAUCCGUAGCCGGCCUUACAAGUCCUCCGUUAAAUCCAGCUGCUUAACAGAUGGGCUGCGGAGGAUACUAUAAGACUAGGAGGCAGGAGAGGCAAGCGGUACUCAGUGGGUAGGGGUAAAAUCCGUUGAUCCAUUGAAGACCACCAGUGGCGAAGGCGGCUCUCUGGGACGGUACUGACGCUGAGACGCGAAAGCGUGGGGAGCGAACAGG
rnacentral:rRNA from 1 species